UUACGGACAUAUCACGUUGAAACACCGUUUCCCGUAAGAGCACCGAAGUUAAGCAACGCCAAGCCUGUUUAGUACCUAGACGGGUGAACUUUUAGGAAUGCUAGGU